rnacentral:rRNA from 1 species
GGGGGCUAAUACCGGAUAACAUUUUGAACUGCAUGGUUCGAAAUUGAAAGGCGGCUUCGGCUGUCACUUAUGGAUGGACCCGCGUCGCAUUAGCUAGUUGGUGAGGUAACGGCUCACCAAGGCAACGAUGCGUAGCCGACCUGAGAGGGUGAUCGGCCACACUGGGACUGAGACACGGCCCAG